rnacentral:rRNA from 1 species
GACGAACGCUGGCGGCGUGCCUAAUACAUGCAAGUAGAACGCACAGUUUAUACCGUAGCUUGCUACACCAUAGACUGUGAGUUGCGAACGGGUGAGUAACGCGUAGGUAACCUGCCUGGUAGCGGGGGAUAACUAUUGGAAACGAUAGCUAAUACCGCAUAAUAUUAAUUAUUGCAUGAUAAUUAAUUGAAAGGUGCAAUUGCACCACUACCAGAUGGACCUGCGUUGUAUUAGCUAGUAGGUGAGGUAACGGCUCACCUAGGCGACGAUACAUAGCCGACCUGAGAAGGUGAUCGGCCACACUGGGACUGAGACACGGCCCAGACUCCUACGGGAGGCAGCAGUAGGGAAUCUUCGGCAAUGGACGAAAGUCUGACCGAGCAACGCCGCGUGAGUGAAGAAGGUUUUCGGAUCGUAAAGCUCUGUUGUAAGAGAAGAACGGGUGUGAGAGUGGAAAGUUCACACUGUGACGGUAUCUUACCAGAAAGGGACGGCUAACUACGUG